CAUAACGGCUGUCUCAGGCAGCGGGGAGGAGGGUGACAAGGGGGAGGGGGCAGAGGAGCAGCCACGGCCGCUCGCUCUCCAAACUAGGACUUGCUCAGCAGAGGCCGCCAGCCCGGAGCUGGAGCCAGAGCCCGGCAUUGGGGACCCCAGCUCCCUUCUGCUUGCCCCGCUCCCGCCUGCGCCCUGCCUUCCAGAUCAGCCACCCGCCUGCCAUGGAGACUUUCUUUAGGAGACAUUUCCAGUGGAAGGUGCCAGGCCCUGGAGAGGGGCAGCGGCGGCCCAGCGGUGUGGGGCUGCCCACGGGCAAGGCCCGGCGUCGCUCCCCCGCUGGGCAGGCCUCCUCCUCACUGGCACAGCGGCGCCGCUCCAGUGCCCAGCUCCAGGGCUGCCUCCUGAGCUGCGGGGUGAGGGCCCGGGGUUCCAGCCGCCGGCGCUCCAGCACUGUGCCCCCUUCCUGCAACCCCCGCUUCAUCGUGGAUAAGGUGCCCACUCCACAGCCUACCACUGUGGGGGCCCAGCUUCUUGGCGCACCCCUGCUGUUGACCGGGCUUGUGGGCAUGAAUGAGGAGGAGAAGGGUGUCCAGGAGGAUGUGGCAGCCGGGGCGUGGAGCGCCGUCCAGCCAGGCACCAAGACACCAGGGCCAUCCCCACCCCAGGGCGCCAGGCCGCUGUCUUCCCUGCCCCGCUACCUGCGCCGAGCCUCCUCCCACCUGCUCCCUGCGGAUGCCGUGUAUGACCACGCUCUCUGGGGCCUGCACGGCUACUAUCGGCGCCUCAGCCAGCGGCGGCCCUCAGGCCAGCACCCUGGCCCUGGGGGCCGAAGAGCCUCAGGCACCACCGCCAGCACCGUGCUGCCCACCCGUGUGCGCCCACUGUCCCGCAGGCGCCAGGUAGCCCUACGGCGCAAGGCGGCGGGACCCCAGGCCUGGAGCGCCCUGCUCGCGAAAGCCAUCACCAAGUCGGGCCUCCAGCACCUGGCCCCGCCUCCACCCACCUCUGGGGCCCCGUGCAGCGAGUCAGAGCGGCAGAUCCGGAGCACAGUGGACUGGAGCGAGUCAGCGACAUAUGGGGAGCACAUCUGGUUUGAGACCAACGUGUCCGGGGACUUCUGCUACGUUGGGGAGCAGUACUGUGUAGCCAGGAUGCUGCAGAAGUCAGUGUCUCGAAGAAAGUGCGCAGCCUGCAAGAUUGUGGUGCACACGCCCUGCAUCGAGCAGCUGGAGAAGAUAAAUUUCCGCUGUAAGCCGUCCUUCCGUGAAUCAGGCUCGAGGAACGUGCGCGAGCCAACCUUUGUACGGCACCACUGGGUACACAGACGACGCCAGGACGGCAAGUGUCGGCACUGUGGGAAGGGAUUCCAGCAGAAGUUCACCUUCCACAGCAAGGAGAUUGUGGCCAUCAGCUGCUCAUGGUGCAAGCAGGCAUACCACAGCAAGGUCUCCUGCUUCAUGCUGCAGCAGAUUGAGGAGCCGUGCUCCCUGGGGGUCCACGCGGCCGUGGUCAUCCCGCCCACCUGGAUCCUCCGUGCACGGAGGCCCCAGAAUACCCUGAAAGCAAGCAAGAAGAAGAAGAGGGCAUCCUUCAAGAGGAAGUCCAGCAAGAAAGGGCCUGAGGAGGGCCGCUGGAGACCCUUCAUCAUCAGACCCACCCCCUCCCCGCUCAUGAAGCCCCUGCUGGUGUUUGUGAACCCCAAGAGUGGGGGCAACCAGGGUGCGAAGAUCAUCCAGUCCUUCCUCUGGUAUCUCAAUCCCCGACAAGUCUUCGACCUGAGCCAGGGAGGGCCCAGGGAGGCGCUGGAGAUGUACCGCAAAGUGCACAACCUGCGGAUCCUGGCGUGCGGGGGCGACGGCACGGUGGGCUGGAUCCUCUCUACCCUGGACCAGCUACGCCUGAAGCCGCCGCCCCCUGUUGCCAUCCUGCCCCUGGGUACUGGCAACGACUUGGCCCGAACCCUCAACUGGGGUGGGGGCUACACAGAUGAGCCUGUGUCCAAGAUCCUCUCCCACGUGGAGGAGGGGAACGUGGUACAGCUGGACCGCUGGGACCUCCACGCUGAGCCCAACCCCGAGGCAGGGCCUGAGGACCGAGAUGAAGGCGCCACCGACCGGUUGCCCCUGGAUGUCUUCAACAACUACUUCAGCCUGGGCUUUGAUGCCCAUGUCACCCUGGAGUUCCACGAGUCUCGAGAGGCCAACCCAGAGAAAUUCAACAGCCGCUUUCGGAAUAAGAUGUUCUACGCUGGGACAGCCUUCUCCGACUUCCUGAUGGGCAGCUCCAAGGACCUGGCCAAGCACAUCCGAGUGGUGUGUGAUGGAACAGACUUGACUCCUAAGAUCCAGGACCUGAAACCCCAGUGUGUUGUUUUCCUGAACAUCCCCAGGUACUGUGCAGGCACCAUGCCCUGGGGCCACCCUGGGGAGCACCACGACUUUGAGCCCCAGCGGCAUGACGACGGCUACCUCGAGGUCAUUGGCUUCACCAUGACGUCCUUGGCCGCGCUGCAGGUGGGCGGGCAUGGCGAGCGGCUGACGCAGUGCCGUGAGGUGGUGCUCACCACGUCCAAGGCCAUCCCGGUGCAGGUGGACGGCGAGCCCUGCAAGCUUGCAGCCUCACGCAUCCGCAUCGCCCUGCGCAACCAGGCCACCAUGGUGCAGAAAGCCAAGCGGCGGAGCGCCGCCCCCCUGCACAGCGACCAGCAGCCGGUGCCCGAGCAGCUGCGCAUCCAGGUGAGUCGCGUCAGCAUGCACGACUACGAGGCCUUGCACUACGACAAGGAGCAGCUCAAGGAGGCCUCCGUGCCGCUGGGCACUGUGGUGGUCCCAGGAGACAGUGACCUAGAGCUCUGCCGCGCCCACAUCGAGAGACUGCAGCAGGAGCCCGAUGGUGCUGGAGCCAAGUCCCCGACAUGUCAGAAACUGUCCCCCAAGUGGUGCUUCCUGGACGCCACCACUGCCAGCCGCUUCUACAGGAUCGACCGAGCCCAGGAGCACCUCAACUAUGUGACUGAGAUCGCACAGGAUGAGAUUUAUAUCCUGGACCCUGAGCUGCUGGGGGCAUCGGCCCGGCCUGACCUCCCGACCCCCACUUCCCCUCUCCCCACCUCACCCUGCUCACCCACGCCCCGGUCAUUGCAAGGGGAUGCCGCACCCCCUGAAGGUGAAGAGCUGAUUGAGGCUGCCAAGAGGAACGACUUCUGUAAGGCCUGUGCUGGUGUACCCGGCUGUGGGCCAGCGUGUCAGCUGGGGGAAGGAGGGGUGGCCCCAGGAGGCCCUGCCCUGCCAUGCCUCCUGCCCUCAGCUCCAGGAGCUGCACCGAGCUGGGGGCGACCUCAUGCACCGAGACGAGCGGAGCCGCACGCUCCUGCACCAUGCAGUCAGCACUGGCAGCAAGGAUGUGGUCCGCUACCUGCUGGACCACGCCCCCCCAGAGAUCCUCGAUGCCGUGGAGGAAAAGUGAGUAUCUGGGCAGUGCAGGACCCUGGUCAUCCCAGAAACCGCCCUUUUCCCCACCCCUCCCAUUUUGUCAGGUCAGAGCCCGUAAACUUUCUGGCCACAUCUGUCAUCCCCUGGGCCACCCCUGUUGCCCCAGAGCCCCGAACUUCGUGCCUUUUCUGAUGGCCCUUGGGAGACAGAUGGGUGGAUCAGGGGCCGGGAUGGGGUACACAGCCAGCCCCUGCUCCCCCAGCGGGGAGACCUGUUUGCACCAGGCAGCGGCCCUGGGCCAGCGCACCAUCUGCCACUACAUCGUGGAGGCCGGGGCCUCGCUCAUGAAGACAGACCAGCAGGGAGACACUCCCCGGCAGCGGGCUGAGAAGGCUCAGGACACCGAGCUGGCCGCCUACCUGGAGAACCGGCAGCACUACCAGAUGAUCCAGCGGGAGGACCAGGAGACGGCUGUGUAGCGGGCUGCCCACGGGCAGCAGGAGGGACAAUGCGGCCAGGGGACGAGCGCCCUCCUUGCUCACCUCACUGCCACAUUCCAGUGGGACGGCCACGGGGGGACCCAGGCCCCAGGGAAAGAACCCCGUGCCGCGCCCUAAGGAGCCGCCCAAACCUAGGGCUGGAUUCAGGAGCUGGGGGCCUCACCUGUCCCCCUGAGGCCCCCAACGGACCCGGAGGCUCACAGGGGAACAGGACAGGGCUGGGUUGGACAUGCCUUUGCGGGGGGAUUCUGGGUCAGGGCGCUCCCUGGCCGCAGCAGAUGCCCUCCGAGGAGUGGAGGGGCUGGAGAGAGAGGGAGGCCUUCGGAAAGAGGCUUCCUGGGCCCCCUGGUCUUCGGCCGGGCCCCCAGCCCCCGCUCUUGCCCCACCCCACCUCCCCCGGGCUUCCUCCCGGACACCCAGCGCCUGCUGCACUUGCCCGCCCUGCCCUGCUUGGCACCCGCUCCGGCGACCCUCCCCGCUCCCCCGUCAUUUCAUCGCGGACUGUGCGGCCUGGGGGUGGGGGGCGGGACUCUCACGGUGACAUGUUUACAGCUGGGUGUGACUCAGUAAAGUGGAUUUUUUUCUUU